AUUAUUUUGGCAGAGAAGAUGUGAUGGAUUUAGAAUUCAUUUAUAUAUAUAAUUAUUAUAUAAAUAAUA
rnacentral:tRNA from 1 species